UACGUAGGGUGCGAGCGUUAAUCGGAAUUACUGGGCGUAAAGCGUGCGUAGGCUGUUUUGUAAGUUGGAAGUGAAAGCCCAGGGCUCAACCUUGGAAUUGCUUUCAAAACUGCAUUACUAGAGUGUCAGAGAGGAUGGCGGAAUUCCUAGUGUAGAGGUGAAAUUCGUAGAUACUAGGAGGAACACCAGUGGCGAAGGCGGCCAUCUGGCUGACAACUGACGCUGUUGCACGAAAGCGUGGGGAGCAAACAGG
rnacentral:rRNA from 1 species